rnacentral:rRNA from 1 species
UGGGGAAUAUUGCGCAAUGGGGGAAACCCUGACGCAGCGACGCCGCGUGAGCGAAGAAGGCCUUAGGGUUGUAAAGCUCUGUUUUCAGGAAAGAAUGUCGCGGGUAAUAAUACGAUCUGCGAAUGACGGUACCUGAAGAGGAAGCCCCGGCUAACUACGUGCCAGCAGCCGCGGUAAGACGUAGGGGGCGAGCGUUGUCCGGAAUUACUGGGCGUAAAGAGCACGUAGGCGGGACUUUAAGUCAGGUGUGAAAGACCGAGGCUCAACCUCGGGGUUGCACUUGAAACUGGAGUUCUUGAGGGCAGGAGAGGAAAGCAGAAUUCCUGGUGUAGCGGUGAAAUGCGUAGAAAUCAGGAGGAAUACCAGUGGCGAAGGCGGCUUUCUGGACUGACCCUGACGCUGAGGUGCGAAAGCGUGGGUAGCAAACAGG